CUUUGCAAGACAUCAAUAAGCUCAAGUUGAUCAACACUAUUUUCCGCUUUGAAAAGCAUCAUUCUUACUUCCUCCCUUAGCAUUUGGCUUUUCUCUACGUACACAUCUCCCUGCAUUAUUGAUAAUUUGACCACAUUGAUUAAUUAAUGCCUUGAUAUAAUGAUAAUGC